UUUUUUACCGCGUGGCGAAGAAAGGUGGAGAAGCAAGGAAGAAAAAAUGGAGGACAUUUAUCAAACUUUAAUACCUUUAUUGGAAGGUAAUAUGCUUUAUUUAAUACCAAUCCUUGUAGUAGAGUACUUAGAUUGCUAAUAUAGAUGAAAAUUUAGGACAUCCAGCUCGAAUUUAAUGCGAUAUGUCGGCAUAAAAUUUGUGCUUUUGCUUUGCACGUGGUUGAUGGAACGUUCGCUUUUAAUUAAUAUGGAAUUAAAGUUAUUAAACCGUGUUUUAACUCAUAAUUAUUGUCCAUCAAGUGAGUAAAAAGACUACUAAGAUCCAGAAUUGUAUAUUAUAAGUUGUUCAAAAAUAGUUGUUAUCUCUGAGUUCUUGCCGAAAAUUUUUAUGUAUUAUAAAAAUGCCGUAUACAGAGACGAGGUGCUUGGUGGGACGUCAAAUAUUUCUAUUUCAUCAGCUUGCACAUUUCAAUUUUGCGACAAAAUAUUUUAACAAUAUGGUGUUUUUGUUCAUUUAUACUCAGAAAAAGCGUUGCUUUAGCAACAUUAAUACAACAUAUUUGAUUCUUGCUUGCAAAACAAAAUUGCUACAGUAAGGCAAAAUGCAGAAUUGUAUUUCUUAACAUCACUGCAGGCUGGUAGUGAAAAGUUAGGAGGUGCUUUGAUAGUGAAAAGUUAGGAGAUGCGGUCAUAGGUUAGGUGAGGCUUCUCGGUAAGCAGGCUGGUAAGAUUAAUAUACGUUCUUAGGCUGAGUGUGGUUUGAAAAGAAGAUUGUUCUUUUGAAGCACAUCUACUGCAGGCUCAAAAUAUGGAUCAGUAGCAGUGUAAAGCCUUUUUUCGACAUACGCUGACAAGGAUUAAGAGAAUGUUAGAAAAUAAAAAGGACAGUAUCUGUUUAAUUUAAAAGCAUAUUAAUUAACUUGAUUUACCGGUACAGCAGAUGCCUGGAGUCGAAAUGAAGUUGAAAAAAAUUCCAAUCAAAUUUUAACAUUUCCAAUUGGUCGGCAUUUUUCUGAUGUUCAAAGAACACUACAAAAAUAUUCGGUUCAGGUUUCAUAUCCUAAAAAAAGUAGGAUAGGUAGGUCCAAACAAAACAAAUUUUCUUCAAAUAUCUUUUGGCUUGCCAUUGGUCAGCAAUUGCUGUGAUCAAACAGAGCCGAGAAAAUAAGGUUUGCUGGAAAACCGGAACCACAGGAUAUUGUUUUGUUUCAGACACUGAUGUUCAUAUUGAGGUUUUCAUCUCGCUAACCAAGCUAUUCACACCCUCAGGAAGUUCUCAUAAUUUUGUAGAUGUAUAAUACAAGUUCCAAGAAUGUUGCAAGAGCUCUUGAUGAUUAUGAAAAAUGGACACAUUCCACGAUCCUGAAUAAGAGGUAAAUUAUUUUUCUUCUAAUUAUUUCUAACCUUCUCCUUGUAUUUCUUGGAUAAUUGUGUUUGUAAUUAUUAAUUUGUUUCAUGUUAUCAAUAGUGAGUUUUUUACAUUUUCUAGAUGUGUGUUGCAAUUUCAAAGAAUGUCUGAAGUUGUUGGUUGAAGUGCUUUUGACCACAAAAAUGAACACUAGCUGUCAUUGGAAAGUAUAUAAAAGGUCUUAAUAUUUUUCUGUCUUAUCUUACAUGAAAUGUUUUGAACAUUAUAUGAUUGCCUGUGAUCAAUAGUUUCAAAAAUCCCAGCAGAAUAUUUCAAAAAUAGCAUGAGCAUGCUAC
rnacentral:lncRNA from 1 species